rnacentral:piRNA from 1 species
UCCUCGAAUGUGAUACUAAACCAUCA